UUCUACUCCUGGGUGCUUCGGAAUU
rnacentral:piRNA from 1 species